AAAGAGACAUCUGGACUGACGGUGUAGUAAAACUCAAAUUUAUAGAAAGAUCCCUUAAAGGGAGGGUUUGACUACCGGCGGGUUUUGUAGGGAAGGUACUGUUUAAGGAUGCUCCGCACCUUAGAACUCACCUUUCAGACUCCCAAACCAUCGGACUGAGAGCAAAGAAAUUUGGAAUACUGAUAGUUCGAAGCACGGGAUAUUUUGUGAAACCCUGUAUGGUUUGUCAAGUGUAGAAGGAAGGAGAUGCAAUAUCAUUCUUAUGAUUGAAAUUAAAAAUGUAAAUGAAUAAUGUUCUAAAUGUUACACUUGAUAUUAUAUGUUUUAUUUUUUAAAUUUAUUCCUGUAUUAUUUAAAAUUCAAAAUACGUUUAAAGCCUAAAACAAAAAUAAUAGGGUAUAUGA